UUGGCUACAUCCGCCCCUUAUCCAGCUAAAGGAUUUUUUUCUUUUUUCCAUUGAUCAUUAUUCUAUUUAUUCUGACCUCCGUACUUCGAUCGAGAUAUUGGACAUAGAAUGCCACUCUUUAAAAAGGAAAAAAGGAGUAAUCAGCUGUGACACGAAAAAAAACGAAUCCUUUUGUAGCUCAUCAUUUAUUGGCAAAGAUAGAAAAGGUCAAUAUGAAGGAGGAGAAAGAAACAAUAGUAACGUGGUCCCGGGCAUCUAGCAUUCUACCCACAAUGGUUGGCCAUACAAUCGCGAUUCAUAAUGGAAAGGAACAUAUACCUAUUUACAUAACAAAUCCUAUGGUAGGUCGCAAAUUGGGGGAAUUCGUGCCUACUCGGCAUUUCACGAGUUAUGAAAAUGCAAGAAAGGAUACUAAAUCUCGUCGUUAACUGAAUUCUGAAUAGAAAGAUUAAGAAGAGAAAAAAGAUUCAAAAUAAAGUAAAGGUAGGCGGGGAAUAACCUUAUUUAUGACAAGUUUCAAACUAGUAAAGUAUAUCCCUAGGAUAAAGAAGAAGAAAAGUGGGCUAAGGAAACUCGCAAGGAAAGUUCCAACCGAUCGUCUACUUAAGUUCGAGAGAGUUUUCAAAGCACAAAAACGUAUCCCUAUGUCUGUUUUCAAAGCACAAAGAGUUCUUGACGAGAUUCGCUGGCGUUACUACGAGGAAACUGUUAUGAUACUGAACCUCAUGCCCUAUCGAGCAUCUUAUCCCAUCUUAAAGUUGGUUUAUUCGGCAGCCGCAAAUGCUACUCAUUAUAGGGAUUUCGACAAAGCGAAUUUAUUUAUUACUAAAGCCGAAGUCAGUAGGAGUACUAUUAUGAAGAAAUUCAGACCUCGAGCUCGAGGACGUAGUUUCCCCAUAAAAAAAAGCAUGUGUCAUAUAACAAUUGUACUAAAUAUAGUAAAGAAAUCUAAAUAACCUUUAGAUCCAUCUAAGAUUUCGAUUCCCAGUAAAAAAAAUAUAGAAUAGAAAAAUAUGGGACAAAAAAUAAAUCCACUCGGUUUCAGACUUGGUACAACCCAAAAACACCAUUCCUUUUGGUUCGCACAACCAAAAAAUUAUUCUGAAGGUCUACAGGAAGAUAAAAAAAUAAGGGAUUGUAUCAAGAACUAUAUACAAAAGAAUAGGAAAAAGGGCUCGAAUAGAAAAAUAGAAUCAGACUCAAGUUCCGAAGUAAUUACACAUAAUAGAAAAAUGGACUCAGGUUCAAGUUCCGAAGUAAUUACACAUAUAGAAAUCCAAAAAGAAAUCGAUACGAUCCACGUCAUAAUCCAUAUUGGAUUCCCAAAUUUAUUAAAGAAAAAAGGAGCAAUCGAAGAAUUAGAGAAAGAUCUACAAAAGGAAAUUAACUCUGUAAACCAGAGAUUUAAUAUUUCUAUCGAAAAAGUUAAAGAACCUUAUAGACAGCCUAACAUUCUUGCAGAAUAUAUAGCUUUCCAAUUAAAAAAUAGAGUUUCAUUCCGAAAGGCAAUGAAAAAAGCUAUUGAAUUAACUAAAAAAGCAGAUAUAAGGGGAGUAAAAGUAAAAAUUGCGGGUCGUCUCGGAGGAAAAGAAAUUGCACGCGCCGAAUCCAUUAAAAAGGGUAGACUUCCCCUCCAAACAAUUCGCGCUAAAAUUGAUUAUUGCUGCUAUCCAAUUCGGACUAUCUAUGGAGUAUUAGGUGUAAAAAUUUGGAUAUUCGUAGACGAAGAAUAAGUAAUCUUGUCUUCGGAUUCUGUCCAUUGAUAGAAUCAAAAAUGACAAGAGACUUUUUUCCUGAAAUCCCUGCAAAAGAAGAAAUUAUACCUCUUUCUAUAAGAUUUAAUGAAAAUUGAUAAAUCAUUUAAUAUAAUUGCUAUGCUUAGUGUGUGACUCGUUAUUUUUUUCUUUUUUUUAAGAAAAAAACUUAGUAAUUAUAGAAAAUUAACUAAUAACCAACCUAUUGCUUCGUAUUGUCGAGAUCCUAACUAAGAAACAGUCACUAUAUGAAUAAAUACCUCUAUCAUAAAUGAGUAGAUGUGUCAUAUAGUUGUAGCAACUGCAAUUUUUUCUCUAAAAAAGAAAAGGGAUUCUAGGUUGUGAAGCAAAACUAAAGGGAUGUGGAUAAAGGGAGGGAUGAUAGAAAGAAGGAAUAGGAAAUAAAUAAGAUAUAGGAUUCCACUAUGUAUGGUCUAUGAAUUACAUCAUAAAAGGCAAUGUGAUAAAGCAUCAAUAUAAUAAAAAUAAUAGAGAAUUAAAAAUUUUAACUUGAAACAAGAACUACAAAUUUAAAGCAAUAAUAAAGAGCCGCCCGGGUUAAUAAAACUGAGAAAAUUAACUCGGAAAGAAAUUUUUUGGAAGCUCCGUUGCGGGAUUCAGACCUAACCAUUCAAGGAGAAGCAGUGGGAACGACAGAACCUAUGAUUCCAUAGGAUUUUAUUGAAAAGAAUCCUAACACUUCAUUGGGUGGGAUGGCGGAACAAACCAAAAAAAUUGUCUUAUUUGGUAAGUUUAUAAAUUAACAAAUAAGACAGGAAAGAGUAAAUAUUCGCCCGCGAAAUUCUUAUUGAAUUAGAAUACUUUACCGCGAUUCAAUAAGAGUAAAAAUAAGGAUUUUUUUAAGAAGGAUUACAUUAUCUAUAAAUAUAGAAUUUAGAUAAAUAUACACACACAUCUGGAUAUAUUCUAGAUCUUCUUUUUUGACUAUAUAUUAUAUUUUUCUGUUUUAACAAAUUCAAUAUAAAAAAACCGAACUUUUUCUAUUAUCUAUUAAUGUGUAUCUAUCCGUACCGUAAUAUUUUUGAAUAUUAUGAAUUAGAGAAAUUUACAUGCUUUCUCAUUCCAUUCGCGAGGAGCUGGAUGAGAAGAAACUCUCAUGUCCAGUUUUGCAGUAGAGAUGGAACUAAGAAAGAGAACCAUCGACUAUAACCCCAAAAGAACCAGAUUUCGCAAACCACAUAGAGGAAGAAUGAAAGGAAAAUCUUGCCGAGGCAAUCGUAUUUGUUUUGGUAGAUAUGCUCUUCAAGCACUUGAACCCCCUUGGAUCACGGCGAGACAGAUAGAAGCAGGACGAAGAGCAAUAACACGAUAUGCACGUCGUGGUGGAAAAAUAUGGGUACGUAUAUUUCCCGACAAACCGGUUACACUAAGACCCACGGAAACACGUAUGGGCUCGGGAAAGGGGUCCCCCGAAUAUUGGGUAUCCGUUGUUAAACCUGGUCGUAUACUUUAUGAAAUGGGGGGAGUAUCUGAAACUGUAGCUAGAGCAGCUAUCUCCAUAGCUGCCAGUAAAAUGCCCAUACGAAGUCAAUUUAUUCGAUUAGAGAUAUAGAACCCUAAAAGGGGUAUGGAAGAUAAAAAAAAAUGCCCGGUUUUUCUUUCUGGAAAGACAAUAUUUCUUUCAUCCUUUUGCAUUGAAAUAACAAAUUGAAAUCAAAAUAAAAAAUAAUAUGAUUCAACCUCAGACCCUUUUAAAUGUAGCAGAUAAUAGUGGAGCUCGAAAAUUGAUGUGUAUUCGAGUCAUAGGAGCUNNNNNNNNNNAAAGGGCUCGAAUAGAAAAAUAGAAUCAGACUCAAGUUCCGAAGUAAUUACACAUAAUAGAAAAAUGGACUCAGGUUCAAGUUCCGAAGUAAUUACACAUAUAGAAAUCCAAAAAGAAAUCGAUACGAUCCACGUCAUAAUCCAUAUUGGAUUCCCAAAUUUAUUAAAGAAAAAAGGAGCAAUCGAAGAAUUAGAGAAAGAUCUACAAAAGGAAAUUAACUCUGUAAACCAGAGAUUUAAUAUUUCUAUCGAAAAAGUGAAAGAACCUUAUAGACAGCCUAACAUUCUUGCAGAAUAUAUAGCUUUCCAAUUAAAAAAUAGAGUUUCAUUCCGAAAGGCAAUGAAAAAAGCCAUUGAAUUAACUAAAAAAGCAGAUAUAAGGGGAGUAAAAGUAAAAAUUGCGGGUCGUCUCGGAGGAAAAGAAAUUGCACGCGCCGAAUCUAUUAAAAAGGGUAGACUUCCCCUCCAAACAAUUCACGCUAAAAUUGAUUAUUGCUGCUAUCCAAUUCGGACUAUCUAUGGAGUAUUAGGUGUAAAAAUUUGGAUAUUCGUAGACGAAGAAUAAGUAAUCUUGUCUUUGGAUUCUGUCCAUUGAUAGAAUAAAAAAUGACAAGAGACUUUUUUCCUGAAAUCCCUGCAAAAGAAGAAAUUAUACCUCUUUCUAUAAGAUUUAAUGAAAAUUGAUAAAUCAUUUAAUAUAAUUGCUAUGCUUAGUGUGUGACUCGUUAUUUUUUUCUUUUUUUUAAGAAAAAAACUUAGUAAUUAUAGAAAAUUAACUAAUAACCAACCUAUUGCUUCGUAUUGUCGAGAUCCUAACUAAGAAACAGUCACUAUAUGAAUAAAUACCUCUAUCAUAAAUGAGUAGAUGUGUCAUAUAGUUGUAGCAACUGCAAUUUUUUCUCUAAAAAAGAAAAGGGAUUCUAGGUUGUGAAGCAAAACUAAAGGGAUGUGGAUAAAGGGAGGGAUGAUAGAAAGAAGGAAGAUGAAAUAAAUAAGAUAUAGGAUUCCACUAUGUAUGGUCUAUGAAUUACAUCAUAAAAGGCAAUGUGAUAAAGCAUCAAUAUAAUAAAAAUAAUAGAGAAUUAAAAAUUGUAACUUGAAACAAGAACUACAAAUUUAAAGCAAUAAUAAAGAGCCGCCCGGGUUAAUAAAACUGAGAAAAUUAACUCGGAAAGAAAUUUUUUGGAAGCUCCGUUGCGGGAUUCAGACCUAACCAUUCAAGGAGAAGCAGUGGGAACGACAGAACCUAUGAUUCCAUAGGAUUUUAUUGAAAAGAAUCCUAACACUUCAUUGGGUGGGAUGGCGGAACAAACCAAAAAAAUUGUCUUAUUUGGUAAGUUUAUAAAUUAACAAAUAAGACAGGAAAGAGUAAAUAUUCGCCCGCGAAAUUCUUAUUGAAUUAGAAUACUUUACCGCGAUUCAAUAAGAGUCAAAAUAAGGAUUUUUUUAAGAAGGAUUACAUUAUCUAUAAAUAUAGAAUUUAGAUAAAUAUACACACACAUCUGGAUAUAUUCUAGAUCUUCUUUUUUAACUAUAUAUUAUAUUUUUCUGUUUUAACAAAUUCAAUAUAAAAAAAACCGAACUUUUUCUAUUAUCUAUUAAUGUGUAUCUAUCCGUACCGUAAUAUUUUGGAAUAUUAUGAAUUAGAUAAAUUUACAUGCUUUCUCAUUCCAUUCGCGAGGAGCUGGAUGAGAAGAAACUCUCAUGUCCAGUUUUGCAGUAGAGAUGGAACUAAGAAAGAGAACCAUCGACUAUAACCCCAAAAGAACCAGAUUUCGCAAACAACAUAGAGGAAGAAUGAAAGGAAAAUCCUGCCGAGGCAAUCGUAUUUGUUUUGGUAGAUAUGCUCUUCAAGCACUUGAACCCGCUUGGAUCACGGCGAGACAGAUAGAAGCAGGACGAAGAGCAAUAACACGAUAUGCACGUCGUGGUGGAAAAAUAUGGGUACGUAUAUUUCCCGACAAACCGGUUACACUAAGACCCACGGAAACACGUAUGGGCUCGGGAAAGGGGUCCCCCGAAUAUUGGGUAUCCGUUGUUAAACCUGGUCGUAUACUUUAUGAAAUGGGGGGAGUAUCUGAAACUGUAGCUAGAGCAGCUAUCUCCAUAGCUGCCAGUAAAAUGCCCAUACGAAGUCAAUUUAUUCGAUUAGAGAUAUAGAACCCUAAAAGGGGUAUGGAAGAUAAAAAAAAAUGCCCGGUUUUUCUUUCUGGAAAGACAAUAUUUCUUUCAUCCUUUUGCAUUGAAAUAACAAAUUGAAAUCAAAAUAAAAAAUAAUAUGAUUCAACCUCAGACCCUUUUAAAUGUAGCAGAUAAUAGUGGAGCUCGAAAAUUGAUGUGUAUUCGAGUCAUAGGAGCUACUGGUAAUCAGCGAUAUGCUCGUAUUGGUGAUGUUAUUGUUGCUGUAAUCAAAGACGCAUUGCCCCAAAUGCCUCUAGAAAGAUCCGAAGUAAUUCGAGCUGUAAUUGUACGUACAUGUAAAGAGUUCAAAUGCGAAGACGGUAUAAUAAUCCGCUAUGAUGACAAUGCUGCGGUUAUAAUUGAUCAAAAAGGCAAUCCAAAAGGAACUCGAGUUUUUGGCGCGAUUGCCGAGGAAUUGAGAGAAUUGAAUUUUACCAAAAUAGUUUCAUUAGCUCCUGAAGUAUUAUAAAUACUAGUAGGCGAAAUUGAGACCAAAGAAUUAAUUUAGUAGAUUGUGUUUUACGUAUAUGUUUUAAAAUCCAAAAUCAAAAAAAAAAGAAAACAUGUUGAUUAUAGAAAAAUUAGGAGGAACCUAGAAUUAGAGUCUUAUGGGCAAGGACACUAUUGCUGAUUUACUAACCUCUAUAAGAAAUGCGGACAUGAAUAAAAAAGGAACAGUUCGAGUAGUAUCUACAAAUAUUACCGAAAACAUUGUUAAAAUACUUCUACGAGAGGGUUUUAUUGAAAGUGUUCGGAAACAUCAGGAACGUAACAGAUAUUUCUUGGUUUCAACUUUGCGACAUCAAAAGAGAAAGACUAGAAAAGGAAUAUAUAGAACAAGAACCUUUUUAAAGCGUAUCAGCCGACCCGGCUUACGAAUUUAUACCAACUAUCAAGGAAUUCCUAAAGUUUUGGGUGGAAUGGGAAUUGCUAUUCUUUCUACUUCUCGAGGAAUAAUGACAGAUCGAGAAGCUCGACUAAACAGAAUUGGGGGAGAAGUCUUAUGUUAUAUAUGGUAAUCGCCCCGCCUAUAGUGCUUGAAUUCUAUCUCGCCCUUCCUAUUUUUAAAAUAAAAAUAGAAAAAUAGGAGAAAAAAAAUAUGACAGAAAAAAAAAUAGGAGAGAAAAAAAAACCCGAGAGAAGCAAAAGUAACUUUCGAAGGUUUAGUUACGGAAGCCCUACCCAAUGGAAUGUUCCGCGUUCGGCUAGAGAAUGACACCAUCAUCCUAGGCUAUAUUUCAGGAAAGAUACGGUCUAGUUCUAUACGAAUACUGAUGGGGGAUAGGGUCAAAAUUGAAGUAAGUCGUUAUGAUUCAAGCAAGGGACGUAUAAUUUAUAGACUUCCCCAUAAGGAUUCGAAGCGUAUCGAAGACUCGAAGGAUAGCGAAGAUUUGAAGGAUAGCAAAGAUUUGAAGGAUACCAAAGAUUCAAAGGAUUAGGUUUUUCUUUUUUUUCUAGGGUAAUAAAUUCUAAGUUCUAAAAUUCAAGCGAAGAUACUUAUUUUUUCCAAAAGAUUAGAUUCAUAGUUUAAAAAAGGAUACGGAAAUAUGAAAAUAAGAGCUUCCGUUCGUAAAAUUUGUACAAAAUGUCGACUGAUUCGUAGGCGUGGACGAAUUAGAGUCAUUUGCUCUAAUCCGAAGCAUAAACAAAGACAGGGGUAAUCUUUCGAAAAAGAACUUUACUUUCUAAAAAGUAAAAAAAAGUACCCGCGGAAAUGUUCCAAUUCCAAAUAAAAUAAUUUCAUUUAAAAUAAUUAAAGUAAAGGGUUUAUUUUACCCUGAAACGGAUAUCUUUGUAUCUUUUUUUAUUUUUUUUAUUUCUAACUCAUAUUUAUGAGAUAAUAAAAUAUGGCAAAAGCUAUACCAAAAAUUGGUUCACGUAAGAAAGUGCGUAUUGGUUUACGUAGGAAUGCACGUUUUAGUUUACGGAAGAGUGCACGUAGAAUAACAAAAGGGGUUAUUCAUGUUCAAGCUAGUUUCAACAAUACCAUUAUAACUGUUACAGACCCACAAGGUCGGGUGGUUUUUUGGUCCUCGGCCGGUACUUGUGGAUUCAAAAGCUCAAGAAAAGCAUCACCCUAUGCUGGUCAAAGAACAGCAGUAGAUGCUAUUCGUACAGUAGGUUUGCAACGAGCAGAAGUUAUGGUAAAGGGCGCUGGUAGUGGAAGAGAUGCCGCAUUACGAGCCAUUGCUAAAAGUGGUGUGCGAUUAAGUUGUAUACGCGAUGUAACACCUAUGCCACAUAAUGGAUGUCGACCGCCUAAAAAAAGACGUCUGUAAAAGAAUUAACCCGCUUUCAACUUUCAUUUCAAGAGAAAUAAACGAUUCAAUGAUAAAAUAAUAAUACUAGUCUAUUAUGGUUCGAGAGGAGGUAGCAGGAUCCACUCAAACACUACAGUGGCAGUGUGUUGAAUCAAGAGUAGAUAGUAAGCGCCUUUAUUAUGGUCGUUUCAUUCUGUCCCCGCUUAGAAAAGGUCAAGCGGACACCGUCGGUAUUGCCUUGCGAAGAGCUUUACUUGGAGAAAUAGAAGGAACAUGUAUCACACGUGCAAAAUUUGGGAGCGUGCCGCACGAGUAUUCUACAAUAGCAGGUAUUGAAGAAUCCGUACAAGAAAUUUUACUAAAUUUGAAAGAAAUUGUAUUGAGAAGUAAUCUCUAUGGAGUUAGAGACGCAUCCAUUUGCGUCAAAGGUCCUAGAUACAUAACUGCUCAAGAUAUCAUCUUACCGCCUUCCGUAGAAAUCGUUGAUACGGCACAACCUAUAGCUAACUUGACAGAGCCCAUUGAUUUCUGUAUUGAUUUACAGAUCAAGAGAGAUCGUGGAUAUCAGACAGAACUCAGAAAGAACUAUCAAGAUGGAAGUUAUCCUAUAGAUGUUGUAUCCAUGCCUGUUCGAAAUGUGAAUUAUAGUAUUUUUUCUUGUGGGAAUGGAAAUGAAAAACACGAGAUACUUUUUCUAGAAAUAUGGACUAAUGGAAGUUUAACCCCUAAGGAAGCACUUUAUGAGGCUUCUCGUAAUUUGAUUGAUUUAUUUCUUCCUUUUCUACACGCGGAGGAAGAGGGCGCUAGUUUCGAAGAAAAUAAAAACAGGUUUACUCCACCCCUU
rnacentral:lncRNA from 1 species